UAAGGAAUAUUGGACAAUGGGCGCAAGCCUGAUCCAGCCAUGCCGCGUGAAGGAUGAAUGUCCUCUGGAUUGUAAACUUCUUUUAUUUGGGACGAAAAAAGAGCAUUCUUGCUCACUUGACGGUACCAAGUGAAUAAGCACCGGCUAACUCCGUGCCAGCAGCCGCGGUAAUACGGAGGGUGCAAGCGUUAUCCGGAUUCACUGGGUUUAAAGGGUGCGUAGGCGGGUAGGUAAGUCAGUGGUGAAAUCUCGGAGCUUAACUCCGAAACUGCCAUUGAUACUAUCUAUCUUGAAUAUUGUUGAGGUUUGCGGAAUAUGUCAUGUAGCGGUGAAAUGCAUAGAUAUGACAUAGAACACCUAUUGCGAAGGCAGCAGGCUAAUCAUAUAUUGACGCUGAGGCACGAAAGCGUGGGGAUCAAACAGG
rnacentral:rRNA from 1 species